rnacentral:lncRNA from 1 species
GGACGACAUCAAAAGAUUGAUGUAGGAUAAAAAACUUAAAUCAAAUAGUUUGGGGGUGGAGGGUCAACAUGGCUGCAAGUUUUGUUAAUCUAAAAUCGAUUUUACAUAUAUCCCUAUUGGUCAAUCAAUUUUUCCCAAAUUAAGUUAAGAGGGGUGUGGGGGUCAGUGAAAAAACUAUGUGAAUUAAGUUUUUUAUCCUUCAUUGAACUUUGAUGUCGCCCCU